CGGGGAAUAGGGGCGGCCAGCAGACUCUGGCUCCGUUAGUCCUGGUUCGAAUCCAGGUUCCCCGGCCA
rnacentral:tRNA from 1 species